rnacentral:other from 1 species
UAUCUGGAAUGUUCGAUAAUUUCUGCUAUUUUGAACCUACAUUUACUUUAAAAGGGAUUCCUAUAACAUAGCCGGAUGUCAAGCCUCCGUUUGCAGUGGAAGACAGAAAUCUAUGUGCGGUUGCCCACCUAGCUUUGCUAGGAGUCAAAAGGCAGAAACCGGCAUCCCGGAUA